GAUGAAGAACGUAGCGAAAUGCGAUAAGUAGUGUGAAUUGCAGAAUUCAGUGAAUCAUCGAAUCUUUGAACGCACAUUGCGCCCCUUGGUAUUCCAUGGGGCAUGCCUGUUCGAGCGUCAUUUGUACCUUCAAGCUCUGCUUGGUGUUGGGUGUUUGUCUCGCCUCUGCGUGUAGACUCGCCUUAAAACAAUUGGCAGCCGGCGUAUUGAUUUCGGAGCGCAGUACAUCUCGCGCUUUGCACUCAUAACGACGACGUCCAAAAGUACAUUUUUACACUCUUGACCUCGGAUCGGGUAGGGAUACCCGCUGAACUUAAGCAUAUCAAUAAGCGGAGGA
rnacentral:misc_RNA from 1 species